UUUUCUUUUUUUUAAGCGUGGGUUACCGCACCCUCUUAACGAAUUGUAGCGAGAAAAAUUAAUGUUUCUCAUCAUUUCAUCCCUGCCAAGAGGGGAGUGACGUGGUCUACCCCUGCGCUACAGAUUAGCUGGUCCCGCGCGCCACCAGCCACCAGCGCCGUGGUCCGCCUGAUCUGGGUGUUGACGCCCUUGGAUUUGGUCCCUUGACGCGGGCCCUCUCCCUUCCCCCCGCUGGGCAGCCCAGUCCUCACGCGGGCUUCAUUCUGAGGGCAGAGGGCCAUGCUGUAUGUGCAAGCCUUGACGGCAGGGCGGCGGCUCGGCUCCAGAGCAGCCCCGGACCCAGAAAAGAAGCCGCGCUGACCUCCAGGUAGACCCUAUUUGACUAGCCCAAGGGACGUGUCAUCACCACCACCAUCAUUAUCACCGUCAUCACCAUCACCACCAUCACCAUGACAAUAAAGAAUUAAGGACUGGUACACGCUGCCACACGGCAAACCUGGCGCUAACGAAAGAUCAAGUUCUGCGUGAUCUUACACGAAGUGCUUCAGAUAGACCGAACCAAAGGGACAGAAAGUAGGAGGCGGAGAGCUGGGCAGGAGCUGCUGGGGCGGGGGUGUCUCUGACUGGGUAACAGUGAGUUCAAGACCUCACUGGGUCACCAACCUGUCUGUACCCCCAAGGAGAAGCCACAGGGAGCUGCCUCGACACUCAGGGAGCGUGACACCACCUCCUGCUGGUCGGCAUUCCCUUUCUUCCUUUCAAGAAACUUGGCUAGGUCCUUGGGAGGCCUGGGGAUGCUCAUCAUGAAGGCCAGGCUCAGGGAUGGCAGGAGGAUGCAGGAGCCCACUCGGCGAGUCUGGGUGUGUUCACAGACUGGCCAGUAGGUGAGCCUGGGGGGCGUUUCAUUGAGUAAUGAUUGGUCUGGGAGGGCCCAGCUCACUGUGGGUGGUGCUACCCCUGGCCAGGUGGUCCUCGCUGUAAGAAGUCAAAGCGAGCAAGCUGGGGAGAGCGAGCCAGGGAGCAGCACUCCUCCGAGGCCUCUGCCUCAGUUCCUGCCCCAAGUGGACCGCGAUGUGGGAGUCUAAGAGGCCUGGAACUCUUCUCAGGGCCACCCUGCCCCCUCUCCUGACCUCCAUACCAUGUGCUGGUGACAUGCAUACACAGAAGUAAAACGCUCAGACACAUAAAAAUGAAUCAUGUUUCGAGACCAGUCUGACAUGACUGACCACUGUGCCUGCUCUUUGGCCCUUUGUGGGUUCUUUGAGAAGAACUACUAACAAACCACAACCACCACCCCCUCCCCAAGGACCAACAACCACACACCCCACCUCUCAGGGCCCUCUGGAAAGUUCCCAGGAUUCCAAACAUCACACACUCCCAGAAACUGUCUGCAGCUGGCAAAACCACGCCUCUGCCAGAGCACGAGGCAAAGCACAGUCAGCUGCUUCGGACAGUCAAGCAGCCGCCAGCCCCACACCUGGGAUUAAGAUAAAAACAUAUUCUUGUAACAUCUCUGUGAGGUUUAAAAAAAAGAUUUAUUUAUUAUUUGUAUAGCGUUCUGCCUGCAGGCUGGAAGUGGACACCAGAUCUCACUAUAGAUGACUGUGAGCCACCCGUGUGGUUGCUGGGAAUUGAACUCCGGACCUUUGGAAGAACAGCCAGUGCUCUUUACCUCUGAGAUGUCUCUCCAGCCCAAUAAAAAGCUGUGUAGCCCAGGCUGGCCUCAAACUUGUGAUCCUCCUGCCUCCUUCAGUAAAUCCUACCAGCCUGCACCACCACAACCGGCCUGUGUUUUUUUAAAGAAACCAAAAUUCCAGGAUUCUUGCUACACACCCCUGGGAGCCCUCUCCCAUCACACUCCCAGCUUCAUCUGCCCUGCCACUGCCACUGUUGCCAGCGUGCAAGCCCUCACCCCACUCUGUCUGGGCCUUGGUAUCUCCCCCGUGCACGGGACACUACCGUGUCCCGGAAGGAUGAGCUGGAAGGAUCAUGUCUGAACACCUUGUCCGUGACCUGACACACACAAUAAAAGUUGCCUGGAUUUCUGCUGAGUGCAUUGGUUCCUGAACACUCCCUGGACCGGUUGAGGACCGGUGAGGAAGUCACUGCGUCUGCCCUCCGUGACCUGUGUGGGUCGCUUCAUGCCUCUGUGCUCCUUCCUGUGGCAGGCGCGGUGGCGGCACAAGCCUUUAAUCCCUAGCUCUGGGGGAGGCAGAGGAAGGCGGAUGUCUGUGAGUUUGAGGCCAGCCUGGUCUACAGAGCGAGUUCCAGGACAGCCAGGGUUACACAGAGAAACCCUGUCUCGGAAAAAAAAGAAAAUGCAAAUAGAGGUGACUGCAGCAAGGGAGGCAACCAGAGAGGGAAAUGAGCUUGCCUGAAACGACCUUGGACCUGUGGAAAAGAGAAGCUGGAGGCCGUCCCUGCUCUCACCCCAGGACUGGGAGAAUCAAGCGUCCAAGGAGGGAAGAGCGGGCAGGAAGGCUGAGGGACGAGAAGGCCGGUCGGCUAGGGGAAACGCGGGCUUAGGAGGACGUGUUCCCACACGGAAUUCUCCCACGGACACCAGGGCAGCACGCCCCACUCCCGCCCCUCAGGCUCCUCCUGCCCCUCUCCUACCGGCUGCCAAGCCUCCUGGGUGUGGGCUGAUGCCAGGCUGCAGGGAGGGCACGCAGUGGAGAAAACGCAGCUGUCUGUCCCCCAGACUUCUGCCUCCGCUCUGGCUGCCCUCCCUCCCUGCAGUAGGCUGCUGGGCUUCUGGGAAACCCGAGGGAGAAGGGGCAGUGUGAGCGAGCGAACAAAGCAGCAGGUGCGGUGGCCCGGGGGGCAGGGGGGGGUGCGCCCUCCUUCCGCUCCCUUUGUCAAGGCUGCCGCAGACGUUCAAGGUCUCCGAGCGCACACAAAGCGCUCAGCGGUGCGUGUGAGGGCGGAGAUCAGUGCACCCUCCCCUUCCAAGAAGCGUGACCGUCGGGGGAUAAAAGACGAGCGCAGGCCGCACGACCUUCACUGGGCCCGUGUUCCCUGAAUGGGACGGCCCCUGUCCCUCCUGGCCUCGGCACGCCCGCCCUGCGGCCCUCCCUCCCCCCCUCCACAGGGUGGGAGCAUGGAGUGGGCCCACCCUCACAUUCCUGGGCUUUGGUCUUUCUCCCCGCCCCAAAAAGGGGCCAAGGUGAGGCCUACAGGGGCCCCUGGAGAGAUGGUGGGACGGCCAGAAAAUGAGGAGGGCCCAGGUGAGCUGCAGUUACUCCCAGAAACGACACGGAGAGGAAUCACGUGCAAGAACCGCGUGAGUUUAUUGGCAACCAGCUCAGGUCAACAGAGGAAUAGUCCCAGCACUCGGGAGGCAGAGGCAGGUGCUCCUGACCAGGGUCACCCCCAGCUGUCAGCCCUGCUCUGUCUCGAAGCUUCGCCAAGGCCUACGAUGCUGCUGUCUUCACCACCCAACAGUCCCUCUCCUCUGGGACCCAGAUCAUUCACGCCAGCACCCCUGACUCAUGCGUCCCCACCUCCUCAACUGAUGCUGACAAAGCAGGAGGUCCUGGGGUGCAAGCGUGCCCCCAUCCGAGGAGCUCUCCUAGGUGAGGCCCUCAGUGUGAAGGAACAGGUUUAUUCGCCAGCAGGAUAACGUGACAUAUUGAUCCCAUCCUUCCUUAACAAAACGCCACCGGCUAACGAGUCCGGAUGUACAUUAUACUGGGGCUUUUGUUUUGUUUUGUUUGCUCCUUUGUUUUCCUGUGUUGUCUGGUUUUCCUUUGGGGGGUGGAGUUGAGGUGGGUUAAGACUGGCCAAUCCCCCUGCCUCGGCCUCCCCAGGCUAGGAUGACAGGAAUGUGCUGUCAUACCUCCCCUGUUACCAAGUUUGUAAAAAGACGUUUAGAUUUUAUUUAUUUUGUUAUUUUAUACGUAUAAGUGUUUGCCUACAGGCUUGUGUGUGCACCAGGCAAACGCCUGGUGCUCUCGAAGGUCAGGAGAGGACUGUGGAUCCCUGGAACUGAAGGGAACCAUGGUGCGAAUACCUAGAGCUGAGCUUCCUCUGGAAGAAGGUCGCCUCUCCAGCCCUUGCUUUAAUCUCAGCUCUGUCUGUCAGCCUGAGUGUGGGGAUGCCCAUGUGAGUGUAGAGUCUGAAAAGGCCAGAAGAGGGCAUCAGCGCCCUAGAGCUGGAGAUACAGGCAGCAGUGAGGCGCCUGAUGUCAGUGCGGAGAACUGAACUUUGGUCCUCUCAAGAGCCACCAAUGUUCUUAACUGCCUCUCCAGCCCUGUGAUCGCCUUUUAGAAACAAAGUCUAGAAUGGGUCUUUCCAGGUUAAAAUAAGGGGGCCUGAAGGACUGGGUGCUGUUGUAGAAGCUCCAGAGAGGCCCCAGGUCUGGUUUUUUCCAGUCUCCAAGGCCACCUGUGUUUUCUGGCCUCUUGGCUCUCUUCUCCCACCUUCCCAGCCCACACACAGAGCAGGUGUUCCACUGUGUGUCACCUGGCUCUCAAGCUCACGUUUUAAACAGUGUUUAUACUGGACCCACCCGGAUAAUCCUGGAUAAUCCCUUUAUGGUAAGGUCAGAGACUAAUGACCUGACCGUGUCAGGACUGUUUCAGGAGGCCCGUGACCCUUUGCUGAGUGAUACAGCAUGAUUGUAAAUUCCAAGGAUUAGGGUGGCGAUGACAUCUUCAGCGUUGUUGGGGUGGAGGCGCCAUCUGGCCUAACACAGGUGGCCAGGUGCACCCAAAGAAUGUAAGAAAAAGGGCUGGGAAGAUGCUCUGCGGGUAAAAGUAGUUGUUGCUUUUAUUUGAUUUUAUUAUUAUUAUUUUUUGAGACAAGGUUUCUCUGUGUAGCCUUGGCUGACCUGGAACUCACUCUGUAGAUCAGGCUGGCCUCGAACUCACAGGGAUCCCCCUGCCUCUGCCUCCUGAGUGCUGGGAAGACAGGCGCACGCUGCCCCCACCUGGCUGAGUGACUGUCGCUGGGGAGCAGCCUUUGGUUCCCAGCACACACAUGGUGGCCGACAACCUUCCUCAACUCCAGCUCCUUGAGGCUCAGUGCCCUCUUCUGAUGUCUGUGGGCACCAGCCGCCCGCAUGGUGUGAAUACGCACAGGAAACACCCACGAAUUAUAAAUCUAGGGAGCUGGUGUGGAGGGAUAGGAGAAUCACUCAGGGGCUGGAGAGACGGCCCAGGGGGUACGAGCACUGGCUGCUCUUCCAAAGAGUACAAUUGCUGAGUUCAAUUCCCAGCAGCGACAUAGUGGAAUCGAUAAUGAGAUCCGCUGCCCUCUUCUGGUGUGCAGGUGUACAUACAGGCAGAUUCUGUAUAAAUAAUAAAUAAAUCUUUAAAAAAGGAAGAAAGAAAGAAGAAACACUCAGAGACAGUGGUUAUAUCCAAACACCCACAGAGAAGGACAUUUAAAGUCAAAUGGCCAUGACUUCAACCCCGCUGCAUUGGGUUGGUGGGAGCUCAUUAGUGAUCUGUCUAGUUUUAAAUAUAGAUGCUGUGGAUAGUAAGAGAUGUGGGUGAGGUCUCGCUGGAGUGAGUUCACACCUGUGGCAAAGGCUUGCUGCUUUUUGAGCCUGAGCCUCCAGCCCAUAGUCUCAGCUUCUUGGAGGCUGAAGUAGGAAGGUCACAAAUUCAAGCCCAGCCUGGGCUACUGAGUGGGCUCAAGGGCAGCUUGAGCAGUGUAGUGAGACCGGGUGUCAGAAGAAAAAGGCUGAAAAGUGGAGGAAGCAGGCUGGAGCGACGGCCCAGGCUUCGGGAGCCUGCUGCCUCUGCAGAGGGUCUGAGUUUACUUCCCAGUACCCACAACCGCCUGGGACUCGGCUCUCAGGGAUGGACUCUGUUCCAGUCUCCUAGGGUGCCUCAUGCUCAUACCAGACACAGCCACACCCAGACACAAAGUUAAAAACUAAAUAUUAAUACGAAUACUUUUUAAAGUUUGGGGGGCUGGGGUUAUUGAUUUAUUUUGGUUUUGCUUGUUUGGUUGGUUUGGUCUUUUUUGGGGGGGUCUUUGUUUGUUUUAAUAGUUCAACUGUAGAGCGCUUGCCUGACAUAAAAAAAUUCAGUCCCCACCACUGCAAAAAUAAGCAAUCAGCAGGCAUGGUAAUGCACACCUUUGGUCCUAGUACUCCUGAGGAGGAUCUCUGUGAGUCAGAGGCCAUCCUGGUCUAUACAGCAAGUUUCAGGACAGCCAGACUAUACAGAGCCCCUGUCACAAACAAAACAAAACAAACAAAUAAGGUAAACAGACAAACUGUCAGUGAGCCCAGCCUUCCCAGCACCCUGCCGUGUGACCUCUCCUCUCAUCCCAUUCUCCCAUGACCCUCAGAACCAGGCAGGUGCUGGAGCCAUGCUCCUGAGCUUUGACAACUGAGCUUAAAAACAAAGAGAUGCAGAGACCUAUGAGCCAAAUUGGCCUGUGUUGCUGCUCAUUUCCAGUCUCAGGUGCUUUGUUAUGGCAACAGAAAGUGAACUAAUUCAGGUACACUCGGGGGCUGUGGGCAUGGCUCAGCCACUAGAGUGCCCGCCUGGCAUACAGAGGCCUCGUCCCAUCCUGCACAAAGCUGCACACCCUUCGAUUGCAACACUGGGGAAGGAGUGGCAGGAGGAUCAGGAGUUUACACUCAUCCUAGUUAGGGUUUCUAGUUGACGAAACACUGUGCCCAAAGCUACCUGGGAAGGACAGCAUUUGAUGACUGUCAUCAAAGGAAGUCAGGAUAGGAACCCACGCAGGGCAGGAACCUGGAGGCAGGAGCUGGUGCAGAGGCCAGGGAGGGUGCUGCUUGCUGGCUUGCUCCUCAUGGCUGCUCAGCCUGCUCUCUGUAGAACCCAGGACCACAGCCCGGGGAUGGCCCCACUCACAUAGGCCUUCCCCACUGAUCACCAACUAAGAAAACGACCUACAGACCCAUCCUAUAGAGGCAUUUUCUCAGUUAAGGCUCCCUCCGCUCUGAUGACUCUAACUUGUGUCAAACUGACAUAAAACUAGCCAGGACCCUUGGUUUCACAGUGAGUUCAAGGCCAGACAGAGCUAUACUAAAUCCUGUCUCACAGAUAAAAGUAGCAAAUGUCCGUUGCUUGACAUUUUUAUAAUAAGAGGAGCUUACGUUGUUUUGUAAUACUGGGACUUGAACCCGGUCCUCACACGUGCUGGGCAAACACUGUACCACUCAGCUCUGCCUCGCCCCCUGCUCCCCGUUUGAAAUAAGGUCUGCCAAGCCUUCCGCUCAUCUGUACCCAGGCUGGCCUCGAACUUGUCAUUCUUUUGCUUCAGGCUUCCAAAUGCCUGGGUUAUGGGCCUAUACCACCAGGCCAGUUAAUAAAGAAAAUUGAGUUGCCUUUUUAA